rnacentral:rRNA from 1 species
CAGGACGAACGCUGGCGGCGUGCCUAAUACAUGCAAGUCGAACGGUCUUUCUAUGGAAGGCUUGCUUCCACUGAGAAGAUAGUGGCGAACGGGUGAGUAACACGUGGGUAACCUGCCCAUAAGAGGGGGAUAACAUCCGGAAACGGGUGCUAAUACCGCAUAGUUUUCUUGAUCACAUGAUUGAGAAAGGAAAGACGGCCUUUGUGCUGUCGCUUAUGGAUGGACCCGCGGCGUAUUAGUUAGUUGGUGAGGUAACGGCUCACCAAGACGAUGAUACGUAGCCGACCUGAGAGGGUGAUCGGCCACAUUGGGACUGAGACACGGCCCAAACUCCUACGGGAGGCAGCAGUAGGGAAUCUUCCGCAAUGGACGAAAGUCUGACGGAGCAACGCCGCGUGAGUGAAGAAAGGUUUUCGGAUCGUAAAACUCUGUUGUCAGAGAAGAACAAGUUGGAGAGUAACUGCUCCAGCCUUGACGGUAUCUGACCAGAAAGCCACGGCUAACUACGUGCCAGCCGCCGC